rfam:Daphnia pulex DAPPTscaffold_34_Cont1987, whole genome shotgun sequence.
GGCUGAGUGGCGCAGCGGAAGCGUGCUGGGCUCAUAACCCAGAGGUCCGUGGGUCGUAACCACGUUUUGCUA